UGCGAUUUCUUUUCUCCGCGGUCAGGGGUGGUGUCGGAGCCGCGGAUCGAAUCCGGACCAGGGCUGCUUUCUGCACCGAGGAAUGAAUAUGGCAACAUCUGGACUCCUGGUACAUGUUGAUUGGUGCUCUCCUGGCACAGCGGAGAAGCACAAAGCAAGUUGUUCACGAAUCCUUCAUUAAGAAAUCAGCACAAAGGCAAAUGGAUCCUUUCAGGAUAAUUCCUGGAGUUGCUGCUCUGCCUGAAGAAAUGUGUCUGCUUGACCAAAAAGAAAUGAAAAUGACACCUGCAUCAGGAUGGAACCGUAGACCUGGCACAGUGAUCAGGAGCACUAAAAGAAGAUGCAAUCACAGUCAGGAAAGAAUCAGUCUCUGGUUAUAAUUAAUUAGUUGCUAACUGGUUUGGUGUAAAUAGUUAAUACCAUGGGACUGUG